UACGUUGGAAUGCCAACGGGUCGGGUUUGGAUCGAAUUUUUAAAAAUCUAAACCCGAACUCGAAAACCAAAUUAAAAUUCGAAUCCAGAUCCGAACCCGGCGGGUUUUAGAAAUCCAUAUCUAUAUUCGUCCUCGACCAAAAACUCGAAACUUGAAACCACAUAGUUUUAAAAGUGCAUACCGUUGGAUAAAGAUUUAACGAAUAGAAAUUAUUAAAUAUUUUAUAUAUUGUAUAAAAAAUAAAUAAAUAAAUAAAUAUAUAUAUAUAUAUAUAUAUAUAUAUAUAUAUAUAUUAUAUAGAACUAGGCUAAUAUACUAUUAAUAGCAUCAAGUCACUGGUGCUACCAAGUUUUUGGCCAUUGAAUUAAGAGAUGUGUGGUUAGGAUGAUGUGGGCCUCCUAGGGUUGAGUGGGUGGUUGGUUGAAUAGUAUGAUCUAACGGGUGAAAAUGAUCAAAAGGGUAGAUCUAACGGCGGAAAACUUGGUAGCACCAAGUGCUUCGUGCUAUUAAUAGCAUAGUAGCCGGACUAUAUAUAUAUAUAUAUAUAUAAAAUUUAUUCCGGUUCGGGCUGGGUUUGGAUUCAGGUUGGUUAAAUACAAAAUCCAUACCCGUAUUUCUAUCCGUCGGGUUUUUAUUUUCUAUACCCAUAAAUGAAUCCUUAUCCGUUUAGCUCAGAUAAACUCGCCCCGUUCGUGUUCGGAUAAUAUUUCGGUUUCCAUACCCAUUCACAUCCCUAUUAAUUUGUACACACAUAUAAAUAAAUAAAUAAAUAAAUAAAACUAGAUUUAAUCACUAAGCUAUUAUAUUAUCU
rnacentral:lncRNA from 1 species